UAUUUUGUUCUUUGCUGCUAUGUAUCGUCGCCGAGGACGACCGUCGUUGGGGGAGCGUGCGCAGUUGGCGCAGGAUCGUGCGGGUAGUUUUGUAUCUUGGAGUUUGGUAUAUGUAUAUGGAACUCGGUUUGGUUUUCUUCUAGUUCUUCUAGCAGCUCUAUACUACUGUUUGUAGUAUUGUAUGUUUUACAGGUACAGCUGUCGUUUCGUAUACAGGGAAAAUUUCUUCGUAUACGGCGGAUUUGUCGGCGUGCCGGGGGAACGUGUAAUCCGGGGCGUGACAGAUUAAGUUGGUAUCAGAGCUUAGCAUUAGGUUGUUAGGACCUAGAGAACCCAAGUUUGGCAAACCUUAGGAAAGCAAGACGCGAGAGGCGUGAUUUAUCGCGAAAGUCAACGAUUUGUUGUUCUAACUCCUCCUAGAGUGGAGUGAGUGAUUGGAGGAGUUCCUGUUUUGUCCUGAAAAAUUAUGUUGGCUGCAGACGACAUAAUUUUGGGGAGAAACAGGGGGCCGCCUUCUAAACUUUCGUUUGAUUGGGUCGAGAGUGUUUUAUUGUAUCUGACCCCUAUUUUGUUCUUUGCUGCUAUGUAUCGUCGCCGAGGACGACCGUCGUUGGGGGAGCGUGCGCAGUUGGCGCAGGAUCGUGCGGGUAGUUUUGUAUCUUGGAGUUUGGUAUAUGUAUAUGGAACUCGGUUUGGUUUUCUUCUAGUUCUUCUAGCAGCUCUAUACUACUGUUUGUAGUAUUGUAUGUUUUACAGGUACAGCUGUCGUUUCGUAUACAGGGAAAAUUUCUUCGUAUACGGCGGAUUUGUCGGCGUGCCGGGGGAACGUGUAAUCCGGGGCGUGACAGAUUAAGUUGGUAUCAGAGCUUAGCAUUAGGUUGUUAGGAC
rnacentral:lncRNA from 1 species